UACGGGGGGGGCAAGCGUUGUUCGGAAUUACUGGGCGUAAAGGGCUCGUAGGCGGCCAACUAAGUCAGACGUGAAAUCCCUCGGCUUAACCGGGGAACUGCGUCUGAUACUGGAUGGCUUGAGAUUGGGAGAGGGAUGCGGAAUUCCAGGUGUAGCGGUGAAAUGCGUAGAUAUCUGGAGGAACACCGGUGGCGAAGGCGGCGUUCUGGACUGCAACUGACACUGAGAGACGAAAGCCAGGGGAGCAAACGGG
rnacentral:rRNA from 1 species